rnacentral:tRNA from 1 species
AGGGUAAUAGUUAAAAAUAACAUUUAAUUUGCAUUUAAAAAGUAUUAACAUCAAUAUAAGUUAAUUUACCUUA